AGGGCUGUAGCUCAGUGGUGGAGCAUGUUUCUUGCAUGCAGAAGGUCACAGGUUCGAUCCUCUAGCUGCUCCA